AUUGAACGCUGGCGGCAGGCCUAACACAUGCAAGUCGAACGAGUGGCGGACGGGUGAGUAAUGUCUGGGAAACUGCCCGAUGGAGGGGGAUAACUACUGGAAACGGUAGCUAAUACCGCAUACAAUCGGAUGUGCCCAGAUGGGAUUAGCUUGUAGGUGAGGUAACGGCUCACCUAGGCGACGAUCCCUAGCUGGUCUGAGAGGAUGACCAGCGACACUGGAACGGAGACACGGUCCAGACUCCUAAGGUAGGAAGCAGUGGGGAAGAUUGAACAAUGGGAGAAAGCCUGAUGCAGCCAGGCCGAGUGUAUGAAGAAGGCCUUCGGGUUGUAAAGUACGUGCAGCGGGGAGGCGUUACCCGCAGAAGAAGCACCGGAUAACUCCGUGCCAGCAGCCGCGGGAAUAC
rnacentral:rRNA from 1 species